rnacentral:rRNA from 1 species
AUACGUAGGUGGCAAGCGUUGUCCGGAAUUAUUGGGCGUAAAGCGCGCGCAGGUGGUUCCUUAAGUCUGAUGUGAAAGCCCCCGGCUCAACCGGGGAGGGUCAUUGGAAACUGGGGAACUUGAGUGCAGAGGAGGAUAGUGGAAUUCCAAGUGUAGCGGUGAAAUGCGUAGAGAUUUGGAGGAACACCAGUGGCGAAGGCGACUGUCUGGUCUGUAACUGACACUGAGGCGCGAAAGCGUGGGGAGCAAACAGGAUUAGAUACCCUGGUAGUCCACGCCGUAAACGAUGAGUGCUAAGUGUUGGGGGGUUUCCGCCCCUCAGUGCUGCAGCUAACGCAUUAAGCACUCCGCCUGGGGAGUACGGUCGCAAGACUGAAACUCAAAGGAAUUGACGGGG